rnacentral:rRNA from 1 species
GACGUAGGGGGCGAGCGUUGUCCGGAUUUAUUGGGCGUAAAGAGCGCGUAGGCGGCUCGUUAAGUCGGGUGUGAAAACCCGGGGCUCAACCCCGGACCUGCAUCCGAUACUGGCGGGCUCGAGGCAGGUAGGGGAGAGUGGAAUUCCUGGUGUAGCGGUGAAAUGCGCAGAUAUCAGGAGGAACACCGGUGGCGAAGGCGGCUCUCUGGACCUGUCCUGACGCUCAGGCGCGAAAGCUAGGGGAGCAAACAGG